UAUGUGAUCGUCUCUCGCAUAUCAAUAAGCGGAGGAAAAGAAACUAACAAGGAUUCCCCUAGUAACGGCGAGUGAAGCGGGAAGAGCUCAAAUUUGAAAUCUUAAAGGGUUUCCCUUUACGAAUUGUAGUUUAAAGAAGUGUUUUCUGUUGAGGUUUUGGUAAAAGUUCUUUGGAAUAGGACAUCAUAGAGGGUGAGGAUCCCGUAUUUGACCUUUACUUUCAACUUUGUGAUACACUUUCAAAGAGUCGGAUUGUUUGGGAAUGCAGUCCAAAAUGGGUGGUAAAUUUCAUCUAAAGCUAAAUAUUGGCGAGAGACCGAUAGCGAACAUGUACCGUGAGGGAAAGAUGAAAAGAACUUUGAAAAGAGAGUUAAACAGUACGUGAAAUUGUCAAGAGGGAAGCGUUUGACACCAGUGUUGUUUUUCUGAAAAUCAAUUAAAGAACUGUUUAUGCUAAGCUGUUUAGACUUUAUCAGCUAUACUGUUUAGUUUUGAGCUUUUCUUUAAUGCACUUUUCAGUUAACAAGUCAACAUCAAUUUCUUUUGCUGUAAAAAAGCUUGAGGAAGGUGGCUUGAGAUUCGUCUUAAGUGUUUAUAGCCUCUUGCCUAUGCAGUCGGAGAGAUUGAGGUCUGCAGCGUAGAUCCUUCGGGGCUAAAUGCAUUUGUGCUAAGUUAUAGCAUUUUAUAGACAACUUGUUGACUAUGAUUUGUCUUGUAGCUUACUCGCUUAUGUUAUUUUACCUACGCUUAGGAUGUUGAGUAGCGACAUACGCAC
rnacentral:rRNA from 1 species